ACCGAUGAAGACUUUGGCAAGCCUCUUCUAUAAGGUUUGGCAUUGGCCGCUUCACUACAGAGGAGGAAGUGGACUACACUGUGGAGAAAUGUAUUCAGCAUGUGAAGCGUCUUCGAGAAAUGAGUCCUCUCUGGGAGAUGGUGCAGGAUGGCAUUGAUCUCAAGAGCAUCAAGUGGACUCAACAUUAGGAGAGUGAGCCUCUGACUUUAUGCUGGCCUGGCCCUUCCUGCCUCAUUGACCCAUGAAUGGCCAGGUACUUUGUUAUAUCCAGUGACUGUUCCAUGGUCAAACCUGAAUUGGAAUAGCCCGGUUGACUUCAGCACAGCCAGUUCCAAGUCAGAAACACAAGGAAAAUACCUUUUCUCAGCCUCAGCUCCUUUGUACAGGAGCUUGGCUCCCUUUUCUUCAGGAGUCUUUCUCUGGUUUUACCGUGUGUGGACAUUCUUAUCCUAAAGUAGUAGAAAUAAAUUUGCUCUGAUAUUGCUGCUGGAUAUAUAUGGCCUUCAUGGGGAAAGCAAGAAGAAGAAGGCUCUUUGUUCAGGGGCUCCAGUGUUUUAUGUAGACAUUUGAAUCAUCACUUCCUGCUGCUCAGCUGGACUGGUUCCUUCAGCAACAAACAUGGUCAACUUUGAUUUAAUCUUUUCAUGACUCCAAAGGACAUCUCUUUAUGUUGACUGUAGAACAAAUAGUAGGUUUCUUAGAAGGCUUGUCUCCUUUGUGUUCUCAUCCUCCUCCCUUUCUUUUGACUUAAUAGAGCUACAAAUAUCUAUGAG